rnacentral:lncRNA from 1 species
UUUAAUGAUUUUCCAGCGAAUUGACUUUUAUUUAUGUGUUGAUAUUUAUUAUGAUUGAGAAUGAGUUCGAUUUAUGAUUUUAUUAGCGUUUUUGAGUAAAAGCAUGAUAUUAGAAUUGAGCAGAUUUGAGAUAUGUUGAAUAGAAAGAAAAUGAGAUUUCAGAUGGGAUCAUAUGUUUACUAUUAGUUUUGAAAUCAUUAGACAGUACCUUUCCCUCCAGAUACAGAGAUACAGAUAAAAAGAGAUACAGAUAAGAGAUACAGAUAAGAUGAGAUAGAGGCCUUUGGGGCCCGUCGGGACACACAUAGAGGCUUUGGGCCGUGUGUUCGGGCGCUUUUGCCUUUUGGGGGCUUAUGCAUGCACAGUACAGAUAUAUGAGAUAAGAGAUAUGAGAUAUGAGAUGAGAUCGUCCCCAUCUAUCCGUUGUGGCUCCGGGGCGUGACGUUACCCAGAUAGUGCGUUAUUGCCUGGCCGUUGUAGCCCGGAUAUGAUCAGAUUAUCCCCUGGGUACUUGUUUGAUGACAGUUUUUAGUAUUCAGUAUUUAAUAUGAGUAUGGUGAUUCCAUCGAUUUUAUGCAGAUUUAUUAUUGCAGUUAUUCAAUUUGAAUUAAAUGAGUUUAUGAUAUUUUGAGAAAUUGAUUUGAGAAUUGAUUUACGAAAUUGAAAUUGAUUUAAGAAAAGAUUUGAGAAAGAUUAAAUGAUUUUGAAUAAUUUAUUAAAGUAUCAGCACCUACUAUCCACUCACUGAGCUCACAGAGUUUUAUACUCACCCCUCUUUUAUUAUAUUUUUCCCCCCCACGGGAGAUUUACAGGUACAUCAGUCAACCCAGUAGUGAACGUUAGUUUGAUAUUGUGGUCACGUGAUGAUGCUAGAAGUCGUGGAUUUUAUUAUUAUAUUCGAAAUUUGUGUUAUUAUUUUAUGUUAUUAAGGAUAAUCGUUGUAUUUUAAUAUUCGGAUGAUUUUGGUGAUAUUUGAUAAGUUGAUUUGAGAAGUUGGUUUGAGAAGUUGGUUAUGGAGGAUGUUUGGUUAUUAAAUUAUUUCGAGAGUGUUAUUUUGUCAAUUGCAGGGUUGGAUAUGUUUUAUUUAUAAGGGAGACUCUGCCGAAAUUUUUAUAGAAUUGUUAUUAAUUCGAUUUUACGAGUUUAGAUAGACUCGCCCUGGGGGAGGUUGCGGGGCGGGUCGUUUCAAAUCAAAUAAAAUUAUGUAAAAACUACAUAACAAUGAAGCCCUUGGGGCUAGAAAAAAAAUUACAAGUUUAUGACUAUGAAACACAAAUAGAUUAACCAAAAGAAUUAAUGAAGAGAAUACGAAGCAUUGGUCUGAAUCAUGAAUUAUCUAUGUAUUUCUUUUUGUUGCUUUAGAAUAAAAAGUUAUUAUCUUAUGCUUUUAUCUAAAUUAGUAAUUUUUCAAAUAGGCACAAGUUGGGAUCAGAGAAUUUUAUUAUUUAAUACAGAUAUAUGAGAUAAGAGAUAUGAGAUAUGAGAUGAGAACGUCCCCAUCUAUCCGUUGUGGCUCCGGGGCAUGACGUUACCCAGAUAGUGCGUCAUUGCCUGGCCGUUGUAGCCCGGAUAUGAUCAGAUUAUCCCCUGGGUACUUGUUUGAUGACAGUUUUUAGUAUUCAGUAUUUAAUAUGAGUAUGGUGAUUCCAUCGAUUUUAUGCAGAUUUAUUAUUGCAGUUAUUCAAUUUGAAUUAAAUGAGUUUAUGAUAUUUUGAGAAAUUGAUUUGAGAAUUGAUUUACGAAAUUGAAAUUGAUUUAAGAAAAGAUUUGAGAAAGAUUAAAUGAUUUUGAAUAAUUUAUUAAAGUAUCAGCACCUACUAUCCACUCACUGAGCUCACAGAGUUUUAUACUCACCCCUCUUUUAUUAUAUUUUUCCCCCCACAGGAGAUUUACAGGUACAUCAGUCAACCCAGUAGUGAACGUUAGUUUGAUAUUGUGGUCACGUGAUGGUGCUAGAAGUCGUGGAUUUUAUUAUUAUAUUCGAAAUUUGUGUUAUUAUUUUAUGUUAUUAAGGAUAAUCGUUGUAUUUUAAUAUUCGGAUGAUUUUGGUGAUAUUUGAUAAGUUGAUUUGAGAAGUUGGUUUGAGAAGUUGGUUAUGGAGGAUGUU